rnacentral:rRNA from 1 species
UGGGGAAUAUUGGACAAUGGGCGCAAGCCUGAUCCAGCAAUGCCGCGUGAGUGAUGAAGGCCUUAGGGUUGUAAAGCUCUUUCGCACGCGACGAUGAUGACGGUAGCGUGAGAAGAAGCCCCGGCUAACUUCGUGCCAGCAGCCGCGGUAAUACGAAGGGGGCUAGCGUUGUUCGGAAUUACUGGGCGUAAAGGGCGCGUAGGCGGCCUGUUUAGUCAGAAGUGAAAGCCCCGGGCUCAACCUGGGAAUAGCUUUUGAUACUGGCAGGCUUGAGUUCCGGAGAGGAUGGUGGAAUUCCCAGUGUAGAGGUGAAAUUCGUAGAUAUUGGGAAGAACACCGGUGGCGAAGGCGGCCAUCUGGACGGACACUGACGCUGAGGCGCGAAAGCGUGGGGAGCAAACAGAUUAGAUACCCUGUAGUCCACGCGUAAACGNUGAAUGCUAGACGUCGGGUGCAUNCACUUCGGUGUCGCCGCUAACGCAUUAAGCAUUCCGCCUGGGGAGUACGGCCGCAAGGUU